GACGAACGCUGGCGGCGUGCUUAACACAUGCAAGUCGAGCGGUAAGGCCCUUUCGGGGGUACACGAGCGGCGAACGGGUGAGUAACACGUGGGUGACCUGCCCUCAGCUCUGGGAUAAGCCUGGGAAACCGGGUCUAAUACUGGAUAUGACUCCAUGACGCAUGUUGUGGGGUGGAAAGCCUUGUGCGGCUGAGGAUGGGCCCGCGGCCUAUCAGCUUGUUGGUGGGGUGAUGGCCUACCAAGGCGACGACGGGUAGCCGGCCUGAGAGGGCGACCGGCCACAUUGGGACUGCGACACGGCCCAGACUCCUACGGGAGGCAGCAGUGGGGAAUAUUGCGCAAUGGACGAAAGUCUGACGCAGCGACGCCGCGUGUGGGAUGAAGCUCUUCGGGGGUGUAAACCACUGUUGCCCGAGACGAACUUCUGGUUUCGACCAGAUUGACGGUACCGGGUGAGGAAGCACCGGCUAACUCUGUGCCAGCAGCAGCCGCGGUAAC
rnacentral:rRNA from 1 species